UACAGAGGUCUCAAGCGUUGUUCGGAUUCAUUGGGCGUAAAGGGUGCGUAGGUGGCGCGCUAAGUCAGGUGUGAAAUCUCGGGCUUAACUCCGAAACUGCAUUUGAUACUGGCGUGCUUGAGGACUGGAGAGGAGACUGGAAUUCAUGGUGUAGCAGUGAAAUGCGUAGAUAUCAGGAGGAAUACCGGUGGCGAAAGCGACUCUCGUGGACGGUAACUGGACGCUGAGGCACGAAAGCGUGGGGAGCAAACAGG
rnacentral:rRNA from 1 species